UGGGGAAUAUUGGGCAAUGGGGGAAACCCUGACCCAGCAACGCCGCGUGAGGGAAGAAGGUUUUCGGAUUGUAAACCUCUGUCCUUGGUGAAGAAAGAGAUGACGGUAGCCAAGGAGGAAGCCCCGGCUAACUACGUGCCAGCAGCCGCGGUAAUACGUAGGGGGCGAGCGUUACCCGGAAUCACUGGGCGUAAAGGGAGCGUAGGUGGCCUAACAUGUCAACUGUGAAAACCCGGAGCUCAACUCCGGACUUGCAGUUGAAACUGGUAGGCUUGAGGACGGUAGAGGAAGACGGAACUGCCAGUGUAGGGGUAAAAUCCUUAGAUAUUGGCAGGAACGCCGGUGACGAAGGUGGUUUUCUGGGCCGGUUCUGACACUGAUGCUCGAAAGCCAGGGGAGCGAACGGG
rnacentral:rRNA from 1 species